UACGUAGGGCGCAAGCGUUGUCCGGAAUUAUUGGGCGUAAAGAGCUCGUAGGCGGUUUGUCGCGUCUGCUGUGAAAACCUAAGGCUCAACCUUGGGCUUGCAGUGGGUACGGGCAGACUAGAGUGCGGUAGGGGUGACUGGAAUUCCUGGUGUAGCGGUGGAAUGCGCAGAUAUCGGGAAGAACACCUAUGGCGAAGGCAGCUCUCUGGGACGGUACUGACGCUGAGACGCGAAAGCGUGGGGAGCGAACAGG
rnacentral:rRNA from 1 species